UACGGGAGGCAGCAGUGGGGAAUAUUGCACAAUGGGCGCAAGCCUGAUGCAGCCAUGCCGCGUGUAUGAAGAAGGCCUUCGGGUUGUAAAGUACUUUCAGUCGUGAGGAAGGUGUUAAGGUUAAUAACCUUAGCAAUUGACGUUAGCGACAGAAGAAGCACCGGCUAACUCCGUGCCAGCAGCCGCGGUAAUACGGAGGGUGCGAGCGUUAAUCGGAAUUACUGGGCGUAAAGGGCACGCAGGCGGUUAAUUAAGUUGGAUGUGAAAUCCCCGGGCUUAACCUGGGAAUGGCAUUCAAGACUGGUUAGCUAGAGUCUUGUAGAGGGGGUAGAAUUCCAUGUGUAGCGGUGAAAUGCGUAGAGAUGUGGAGGAAUACCGGUGGCGAAGGCGGCCCCUGGACAAAGGCUGACGCUCAUGUGCGAAAGCGUGGGGAGCGAAACAGGGAUUUAGAUACC
rnacentral:rRNA from 1 species